rnacentral:rRNA from 1 species
AUUGAACGCUGGCGGCAGGCUUAACACAUGCAAGUCGAACGAUGAAACUCUAGCUUGCUAGAGAAGAUUAGUGGCGGACGGGUGAGUAACAUUUAGGAAUCUGCCUAGUAGUGGGGGAUAGCUCGGGGAAACUCGAAUUAAUACCGCAUACGACCUACGGGUGAAAGGGGGCGCAAGCUCUUGCUAUUAGAUGAGCCUAAAUCAGAUUAGCUAGUUGGUGGGGUAAAGGCCCACCAAGGCGACGAUCUGUAACUGGUCUGAGAGGAUGAUCAGUCACACCGGAACUGAGACACGGUCCGGACUCCUACGGGAGGCAGCAGUGGGGAAUAUUGGACAAUGGGGGCAACCCUGAUCCAGCCAUGCCGCGUGUGUGAAGAAGGCCUUUUGGUUGUAAAGCACUUUAAGCAGGGAGGAGAGGCUAAUGGUUAAUACCCAUUAGAUUAGACGUUACCUGCAGAAUAAGCACCGGCUAACUCUGUGCCAGCAGCCGCGGUAAUACAGAGGGUGCGAGCGUUAAUCGGAAUUACUGGGCGUAAAGCGAGUGUAGGUGGCUCAUUAAGUCACAUGUGAAAUCCCCGGGCUUAACCUAGGAACUGCAUGUGAUACUGGUGGUGCUAGAAUAUGUGAGAGGGAAGUAGAAUUCCAGGUGUAGCGGUGAAAUGCGUAGAGAUCUGGAGGAAUACCGAUGGCGAAGGCAGCUUCCUGGCACAAUAUUGACACUGAGAUUCGAAAGCGUGGGUAGCAAACAGGAUUAGAUACCCUGGUAGUCCACGCCGUAAACGAUGUCUACUAGCCGUUGGGGUCCUUGAGACUUUAGUGGCGCAGUUAACGCGAUAAGUAGACCGCCUGGGGAGUACGGCCGCAAGGUUAAAACUCAAAUGAAUUGACGGGGGCCCGCACAAGCGGUGGAGCAUGUGGUUUAAUUCGAUGCAACGCGAAGAACCUUACCUGGUCUUGACAUAGUGAGAAUCCUGCAGAGAUGCGGGAGUGCCUUCGGGAACUCACAUACAGGUGCUGCAUGGCUGUCGUCAGCUCGUGUCGUGAGAUGUUGGGUUAAGUCCCGCAACGAGCGCAACCCUUUUCCUUAUUUGCCAGCGGGUUAAGCCGGGAACUUUAAGGAUACUGCCAGUGACAAACUGGAGGAAGGCGGGGACGACGUCAAGUCAUCAUGGCCCUUACGACCAGGGCUACACACGUGCUACAAUGGUAGGUACAGAGGGUUGCUACACAGCGAUGUGAUGCUAAUCUCAAAAAGCCUAUCGUAGUCCGGAUUGGAGUCUGCAACUCGACUCCAUGAAGUCGGAAUCGCUAGUAAUCGCAGAUCAGAAUGCUGCGGUGAAUACGUUCCCGGGCCU